UACAGUAUCCACUCAAGAUCAGUCUGAAAUAAUUCUCUUUGGUACUGAUUUUUUUCUAAGAAAAAUUAGCCUGUGAAUCUAAACGAAGUCUGGAUUGUGAUCAACUCUUUGAUUAUUUUCUUGAUCUUCUUCUUCUCUUAUUCUCUUGCUUUUUUCCCUUGAUUAUGAAUCAAUCAAGAUUUGAAAACCAGCAAGUAAAGGGGCAUCCAA
rnacentral:lncRNA from 1 species